UAGUGAUAUGCUUGUCUCAAGGGUUAAGCCAUGCAUGUGUCUGUGCAAGCGUCUGCAUCGCAUGACUGUAGAUGGCUCACUACACCGGUUGCAAAUUUGGCAACACACUUGACCAAGUGGCUAACUGUAGAAACGCUGGGGCUAACACAAGAGAUUCUUCUGACUUCUUGGAAGGUUUUGGCCCAUCUGACAGAGAAUUGGCCCACUGAUGUUGUGGAUGGUAGUGGAGACUUGGUGUGCAUGAUACUUGUAUGGAUGAAGUGACCAAUGGAUUGUUCAAGCUUCUGACCUAUCAGCUCCUGAUGCUAGGGUAGUGGCCUACUGUGGCAAUGACGGGUAACGGAGGAUUGGGGUUUGAUUCCGGAGAGGGAGCCUGGCAAAUGGCUACCACAUCCAAGGAAGGCAGCAGGCACGCAAAUUGCCCAGCGCUGAUGCAGUGAGGCAGCGACAAGAAAUAGCGAUGUGGGGCAAAUGUGUCCUGUCAUUGAAAUGAGCAUUGUCUAACUCUUGGUGCGAGGAUCAAUUGGAGGGCAAGUCUGGUGCCAGCAGCCGCGGUAAUUCCAGCUUCACCAGUGUAUAUUAAAGCUGUUGUGGUUGAAAAGUUCGUAGUUGGUUUUCUGUUGAGGACAACCAGUCUGCCCAUUGGGUCUGUAUUUGGUUUGUUCUAUGCAUCUCCUUGGUGAAGUUUGCUGUGCUUGACUGUGCGGUGUCUUUUCCAGGCCAAUAACUUUGAGGAAAUUGGAGUGUCCCAAGUAAGCUUUGCUGUUGAACACACGUGCAUGGAAUGGAGUACAAUGAAUGUGCUUGAACUUGCCAGUCCAGAGAGGACGUGAGUCUCAAGAGGGUUAGUUGGGGAUAUCUGAAUUUGGCAGUCAGAGGUGAAAUUCUUGAAUUUGUCAAAGGCAAGCGCUUGCGAAAGCAUUUGUCCAGAAUGCCUGUGUUGAUCAAGAACAACAGUUAGGGGAUCGAAGAUGAUCAGAUACCGUCCUAGUCUUAACCGUAAACGAUGCCAACUGGGAAUUGGAGGCUGUUGUCUACUUGACUCCUUCGGCAUCCUAUGAUACAUCAAAGUCUUUGGGUUCCAGGGGGAGUAUGGUUGCAAGGCCGAAACUUAAAGGAAUUGACGGAAGGGCACCACCAGGAGUGGAGCCUGCGGCUUAAUUUGACUCAACACGUGAAAACUCACCAGGUCCAGACAUUGCUUGGAUUGACAGAUUGAUAGUUCUUUCGUGAUUCUGUGGGUGGUGGUGCAUGGCUGUUCUUAGUUGGUGGAGUGAUUUGUCAGGUUAAUUCCGUUAACGAACGAGACCUCAACUGGCUAAUUGCCUCUUGCAACAAAUGCGUUGCACCAGGGGCCUCUUACAAGGACUCCGUGUGUCCAACGUGGGGAGGCUUGCGGCAAUAACAGGUCUGUGAUGCCCUUAGAUGAUUUGGGCUGCACGCGCGCUACACUGACCCUAACAAUGAGCAACUGUCUGGCCUGAGAUGGCUGGGUAGCCUUUUCAACCCAUGUCAUGAUUGGGCUAGAUUUUUGUAAGUCUUGAUCCCUAACGAGGAAUCCCUAGUAUGCGUGAAUCAUCAAUCCAUGCAGAUUAUGUCCCUGCCCUUUGUACACACCGCCCGUCGCUCCUACUGAUUGGGUGAUCCGGUGAGCUGUUCGGCCAUAGCAAUGUUUCUUGAGCAGGGCAAUGAAUGUUUCGCAAACCUUGCCACUUAGAGGAAGGAGAAGUCGUAACAAGGUUUCUGUAG
rnacentral:rRNA from 1 species